GCCGGGCUGUAAACCCGCUUACGGGGGCUAGGCCCCCCCCCACCA
rnacentral:tRNA from 1 species